GUCCCGUGUGGAUCCGGAUUCUCGAAAAAACACAAUAAAUGAAAUAAUCAGGCGAGCAACGUCAGGAGGGGAGUGGCCCCAGGAGCCUUCAUCCCAGGAGUUCCUGUGCAGCCAGUCCUCCUCAGAUACCCAAACAAGCUGGAUACUGUGACUUGGACAUGGCAAGGAUA